rnacentral:pre_miRNA from 1 species
UGGAUAGAUUAUUGUAUUCGACUGUAUUCAUGGCGUGAAACAUGGGAUUACACUAUUUUUAAAAGAAAAGUGAAUCAAUUAACAUAAUAGACUCCU